rnacentral:rRNA from 1 species
GACGAACGCUGGCGGCGUGCCUAAUACAUGCAAGUCGGGCGCAGGAAGCUGACGGAACUCUUCGGAGGGAAGGCAGUGGAAUGAGCGGCGGACGGGUGAGUAACACGUAAGGAACCUGCCUCAAGGAUUGGGAUAACUCCGAGAAAUCGGAGCUAAUACCGGAUAGUUCAACGGACCGCAUGGUCCGCUGAUGAAAGGCGCUUCGGCGUCACCUUGAGAUGGCCUUGCGGUGCAUUAGCUAGUUGGUGGGGUAACGGCCCACCAAGGCGACGAUGCAUAGCCGACCUGAGAGGGUGAUCGGCCACACUGGGACUGAGAUACGGCCCAGACUCCUACGGGAGGCAGCAGUAGGGAAUCUUCCACAAUGGACGAAAGUCUGAUGGAGCAACGCCGCGUGAGUGAUGAAGGUUUUCGGAUCGUAAAACUCUGUUGUAAGGGAAGAACACGUACGAGAGGGAAUGCUCGUACCUUGACGGUACCUUACGAGAAAGCCACGGCUAACUACGUGCCAGCAGCCGCGGUAAAAC